UGAGUAACACGUAUCCAACCUGCCGUCUACUCUUGGACAGCCUUCUGAAAGGAAGAUUAAUACAAGAUGGCAUCAUGAGUUCACAUGUUCACAUGAUUAAAGGUAUUCCGGUAGACGAUGGGGAUGCGUUCCAUUAGCCAGUUGGCGGGUAACGGCCCACCGAGGCGACGAUGGAUAGGGGUUCUGAGAGGAAGGUCCCCCACAUUGGAACUGAGACACGGUCCAA
rnacentral:rRNA from 1 species